rnacentral:rRNA from 1 species
GAUGAACGCUGGCGGCGUGCCUAAUACAUGCAAGUCGAGCGAACAGACGAGGAGCUUGCUCCUCUGACGUUAGCGGCGGACGGGUGAGUAACACGUGGAUAACCUACCUAUAAGACUGGGAUAACUUCGGGAAACCGGAGCUAAUACCGGAUAAUAUAUUGAACCGCAUGGUUCAAUAGUGAAAGACGGUUUUGCUGUCACUUAUAGAUGGAUCCGCGCCGCAUUAGCUAGUUGGUAAGGUAACGGCUUACCAAGGCAACGAUGCGUAGCCGACCUGAGAGAGUCGUCGGCCACACUGGAACUGAGACACGGUCCAGACUCCUACAGGAGGCAGCGGUAGGGAAUCUUCCGCAAUGGGCGAAAGCCUGACGGAGCAACGCCGCGUGAAUGAUGAAGGUCUUCGGAUCGUAAAACUCUGUUAUAAGGGAAGAACAAAUGUGUAAGUAACGAUGCACGUCUUGACGGUACCUAAUCAGAAAGCCACGGCUAACUACGUG